UACGUAGGGUGCGAGCGUUAAUCGGAAUUACUGGGCGUAAAGCGUGCGCAGGCGGCUAUUUAAGCUUGCUGUGAAAGCCCCGGGCUUAACCUGGGAAUGGCAUUUGGGACUGCAAGGCUUGAGUGCGGCAGAGGAGACUGGAAUUCCUGGUGUAGCAGUGAAAUGCGUAGAUAUCAGGAGGAAUACCGAUGGCGAAGGCAGGUCUCUGGGCUGACACUGACGCUCAUGCACGAAAGCGUGGGGAGCAAACAGG
rnacentral:rRNA from 1 species